GACGAACGUUGGCGGCGUGCUUAAUACAUGCAAGUCAACUGAAGCAGUGGUAGCAAUAUCGCUGUGGAGGUGGCGCACGGGUGAGUAACACGUAGGUAAUCUGCCUUCAGGUCUGGCAUAACUCCGGGAAACCGGGGCUAAUAGCAGAUGAUGCAGCGGCUCGACAUCGAGACAGUUGUUAAAGCUAUGGCGCCUGAAGAUGAGCCUGCGUCUGAUUAGCUAGUUGGCGGGGUAACGGCCCACCAAGGCAACGAUCAGUAGCUGGUCUGAGAGGAUGAUCAGCCACACUGGAACUGAGACACGGUCCAGACUCCUACGGGAGGCAGCAGUAAGGAAUAUUGCUCAAUGGGAGAAAUCCUGAAGCAGCAACGCCGCGUGAGGGACGAAGGGCUUUUGCUUGUAAACCUCUGUAGUGAGAGAAAAAAAUCCCAAUCCUUGGGACAUGAUGGUAUCUCAAAAGUAAGCCCCGGCUAACUACGUG
rnacentral:rRNA from 1 species